CCUACGGGAGGCCGCAGUAAGGAAUAUUGGACAAUGCCCGCAAGGGUGAUCCAGCCAUGCCGCGUGCAGGAAGAAGGCCCUAUGGGUCGUAAACUGCUUUUACACCGGAGAAAACCUCCCUUCGUGAAGGGAGCUGAUAGUAUGGUGAGAAUAAGCAUCGGCUAACUUCGUGCCAGCAGCCGCGGUAAGACGAAGGAUGCAAGCGUUAUCCGGAUUCAUUGGGUUUAAAGGGAGCGUAGGUGGACUGAUAAGUCAGUGGUGAAAUCUUCGAGCUUAACUCGGAAAUUGCCAUUGAUACUGUUAGUCUUGAGUACAGUUGCUGUGGGCGGAAUAUGACAUGUAGUGGUGAAAUACAUAGAGAUGUCAUAGAACACCGAUUGCGAAGGCAGCUCACAAAGCUGUAACUGACACUGAGGCUCGAAAGUGCGGGGAUCAAACAGGAUUAGAUACCCUGGUAGUCCGCACUGUAAACGAUGAUUACUCGCUGCUAGAGGGCAACUUUUAGUGGCUUAGCGAAAGCGAUAAGUAAUCCACCUGGGGAGUACGCCGGCAACGGUUGAAACUCAAANAGAGUAGAGCGNGAGAGNGCGAGGACGACACGAGGGGAGGAGG
rnacentral:rRNA from 1 species